AGUGAACGCUGGCGGUAGGCCUAACACAUGCAAGUCGAACGGCAGCACAGUAAGAGUUUGCUCUUACGGGUGGCGAGUGGCGGACGGGUGAGGAAUACAUCGGAAUCUACUUUUUCGUGGGGGAUAACGUAGGGAAACUUACGCUAAUACCGCAUACGACCUACGGCUGAAAGCAGUGGAGCUUCGGACCUUGCGCGAUUGAAUGAGCCGAUGUCGGAUUAGCUAGUUGGCGGGGUAAAGGCCCACCAAGGCGACGAUCCGUAGCUGAUCUGAGAGGAUGAUCAGCCACACUGGAACUGAGACACGGUCCAGACUCCUACGGGAGGCAGCAGUGGGGAAUAUUGGACAAAGGGCGCAAGCCUGAUCCAGCCAUACCGCGUGGGUGAAGAAGGCCUUCGGGUUGUAAAGCCCUUUUGUUGGGAAAGAAAAGCAGCAGGUUAAUCCACCGAUGUUCUGACGGUACCCAAUGAAUAAGCACCGGCUAACUUCGUG
rnacentral:rRNA from 1 species